GAAAUGCGAUAAGUAAUGUGAAUUGCAGAAUUCAGUGAAUCAUCGAAUCUUUGAACGCACAUUGCGCCCGCCAGUAUUCUGGCGGGCAUGCCUGUCCGAGCGUCAUUUCAACCAUCAAGCCCCCGGGCUUGUGUUGGGGACCUGCGGCUGCCCGCAGGCCCUGAAACCCAGUGGCGGGCUCGCUGUCACACCGAGCGUAGUAGCAAUCACCUCGCUCAGGGCGUGCUGCGGGUUCCGGCCGUUAAACAGCCUUACAAAACCCAAGGUUGACCUCGGAUCAGGUAGGAAGACCCGCUGAACUUAAGC
rnacentral:misc_RNA from 1 species